GUUUUCCUAUUCUACCAAACAAAUCCACAGACUUAAGAGUUAUUCAAAUUAGGCACAGCUUAUUUGAAACAGGAUACAACCUCCACCACUGGGUAAACAAGGGUAAUCAAAAUAAAGUGGGCCCAAAAGCAGCCAUCUUCCAAAAAGCGUCAAAGCUUACCUAUUCCAACCCAUAAUUUCUAAAAUACCCCACAACCCUUCACCCCUACUGAACCCUUUUAUACUAAUAUAAAAAUUAUUAUGCUAGAACUAGUAACAAGAAGUUGCCCUUCUCCACAAUGUAAACAUAAACCAAAACGGACUAUCCAUUGGUAGUUAACGUAAAUGAAGCCCCCAUAAUAACACAACUAGAGAACCUUAUGGCUCACCCCACGUUACCCUAACACCAGAACAUUACAGGAAAGAUUAAAAGAGAAAGAAGGAACUCGGCAAAUUUUAGCCCCGCCUGUUUACCAAAAACAUCGCCUCUUGACUAAAUAUAAGAGGUCCAGCCUGCCCAGUGACAAAAUUUAACGGCCGCGGUACACUAACCGUGCGAAGGUAGCAUAAUCACUUGUUCUUUAAAUAGGGACUAGUAUCAACGGCAUCACGAGGGCUAUACUGUCUCCUCUCUCUAAUCAGUGAAACUGAUCCCCCCGUGAAGAAGCGGGGAUUUAAUUAUAAGACGAGAAGACCCCAUGGAGCUUUAAACCCAACAUAUACCCCUUCACCUGAGCACCAACUUAACCCAAGAGACUUAUAUGUUGGUUUUAGGCUGGGGGGGCCACGGAGUAAAAUUAAACCUCCAUAACAAAUGGGCUAGCACCCUUAUCUAUGAUCUUACAAAUCUAAGAAUUACCAAAAUAAUGUUUAAUGACCCGAUAACUCGAUCAAUGAACCAAGUUACCCUGGGGAUAACAGCGCAAUCUACUUCAAGAGCCCCUAUCGACAAGUGGGUUUACGACCUCGAUGUUGGAUCAGGGUAUCCUAGUGGUGCAACCGCUAC
rnacentral:rRNA from 1 species